GAUGAACGCUGGCGGCGUGCCUAAUACAUGCAAGUAGAACGCUGAAGCUUGGUGCUUGCACCGAGCGGAUGAGUUGCGAACGGGUGAGUAACGCGUAGGUAACCUGCCUCUUAGCGGGGGAUAACUAUUGGAAACGAUAGCUAAUACCGCAUAAAAGUCGAUAUCGCAUGAUAUUGAUUUGAAAGGUGCAAAUGCAUCACUAAGAGAUGGACCUGCGUUGUAUUAGCUAGUUGGUGAGGUAACGGCUCACCAAGGCGACGAUACAUAGCCGACCUGAGAGGGUGAUCGGCCAAACUGGGACUGAGACACGGCCCAGACUCCUACGGGAGGCAGCAGUAGGGAAUCUUCGGCAAUGGGGGCAACCCUGACCGAGCAACGCCGCGUGAGUGAAGAAGGUUUUCGGAUCGGAAAGCUCUGUUGUAAGAGAAGAACGAGUGUGAGAGUGGAAAGUUCACACUGUGACGGUAACUGACCAGAAAGGGACGGCUAACUACGUG
rnacentral:rRNA from 1 species